CACGUAGGGUGCGAGCGUUGUCCGGAAUUAUUGGGCGUAAAGAGCUCGUAGGCGGUGUGUCGCGUCGGCCGUGAAAACCUGCAGCUUAACUGUGGGCUUGCGGUCGAUACGGGCAUCACUGGAGUUCGGCAGGGGAGACUGGAAUUCCUGGUGUAGCGGUGAAAUGCGCAGAUAUCAGGAGGGAACACCCGGUGGCGAAGGCGGGUCUCUGGGGCCGAUACUGACGCUGAGGAGCGAAAGCGUGGGGAGCGAACAGG
rnacentral:rRNA from 1 species